rnacentral:rRNA from 1 species
GCGAGUGGAGAGGGAAAAGCCCAAAUUUGUAAUCUGGCUCUUUUAUAAGGGUCCGAGUUGUAAUUUUGAGAACUGUUUUCUGUGUUGGACCAUGUACAAGUCUGUUGGAAAACAGCAUCAUUGAGGGUGAUAAUCCCGUAGAUGAUAUGGACUACCAGUGCAAUAUGAUACAGUCUCUAAGAGUCGAGUUGUUUGGGAAUGCAGCUCAAAGUGGGUGGUAAAUUCCAUCUAAGGCUAAAUAUAGGUGAGAGACCGAUAGCAAACAAGUACCGUGAGGGAAAGAUGAAAAGAACUUUGGAAAGAGAGUUAACAGUACGUGAAAUUGUUAAAAGGGAAACAUUUGAAGUUAGACUUGUUAUUAUUGGUUCAGCUUCUUUUUUUUAAUUAGGAGUCUAUUCCAAUGGUUGACAGACCAGCAUCAAUUUUUGAGUGUUAGAUAAGGGUCUUGAGAAUGUGGCAACUUUGGUUGUGUUAUAGCUCUUGGCUUGAUAUAAUGCUUAGGAUUGAGGAACGCAGUGAGCUUUUUAUUAAGUGGAUUCUCUUUUCCCUCUUCACUCGCCG